rnacentral:rRNA from 1 species
UACGAAGGGGGCUAGCGUUGCUCGGAAUCACUGGGCGUAAAGGGUGCGUAGGCGGGUCUUUAAGUCAGGGGUGAAAUCCUGGGAGCUCAACUCCAGAACUGCCUUUGAUACUGAGGAUCUUGAGUUCGGGAGAGGUGAGUGGAACUGCGAGUGUAGAGGUGAAAUUCGUAGAUACUCGCAAGAACACCAGUGGCGAAGGCGGCUCACUGGCCCGAUACUGACGCUG